GGGAAUGUGGCUCAGUUGGUAGAGUGCUUGCCUAGCAUGCAUGAAGCCCUGGGUUCAAUUCCUCAGUACCA
rnacentral:tRNA from 1 species